rnacentral:lncRNA from 1 species
CUGUUUAUUCCUCUUUUUUGUGUCACCCACUUCCAGAGAGUGUUUCCAUGGAAUUGCCAUGCCAGCAGGAUCAGGUCAUCCCUCGUUAAUAUGCUACAACAUGUGCAGGUUGGGUUAUAAUUUUUCCUGAGCUCAAUGGCUGUGUGUCCUUUGUAUGGGCAGAAAUUAUUGAGCAUUGUAAAAGUUUCCAUUUUAUUCUUUCAUGCAGGACAUUCCUUAAGCUACACCUUUAAGUUUCUCAGUGGUUGAAAAGGAGUCAAAAUGCUGUUUCAGGUCAACUCAUUCUUAUUUCAACAAAGACAGACUUCCAGCUCCAAGCAUGUCUGCUCAAAUUCAGUUCUCACAAAGGCUUUGCAUGGAGUGAUCACCAAAGCAGGAACCUGAGGAUCAGGAGCUGCUUGCCAGGUCUGACCUUCUGACACUUCAGCCCCUCCUGCCUUCCUUCUCAGUGAGUGUUUGCUGGCAGUUUUUCACUCUCCAUCCUAACAAGCUCAUUUAAG